rnacentral:rRNA from 1 species
GAUGAACGCUGGCGGCGUGCCUAAUACAUGCAAGUCGAGCGGACCAAAGAGAGCUUGCUCUCUGAGGUUAGCGGCGGACGGGUGAGUAACACGUGGGUAACCUGCCUGUAAGACGGGGAUAACUUCGGGAAACCGAAGCUAAUACCGGAUGAUAAAGAGAAACGCCUGUUUCUUUUUUGAAAGUCGGCCUUGUGCUGACGCUUACAGAUGGGCCCGCGGCGCAUUAGCUAGUUGGUGAGGUAACGGCUCACCAAGGCGACGAUGCGUAGCCGACCUGAGAGGGUGAUCGGCCACACUGGGACUGAGACACGGCCCAGACUCCUACGGGAGGCAGCAGUAGGGAAUCUUCGGCAAUGGACGAAAGUCUGACCGAGCAACGCCGCGUGAGCGAUGAAGGCCUUCGGGUCGUAAAGCUCUGUUGUCAGAGAAGAACAAGUACCGGAGUAACUGCCGGUACCUUGACGGUACCUGACCAGAAAGCCACGGCUAACUACGUGCCAGCCGCCGCCGUAA